rnacentral:rRNA from 1 species
AUUGCCUCAGUAACGGCGAGUGAAGCGGCAAGAGCUCAAAUUUGAAAUCUGGCCUCUUUGGGGUCCGAGUUGUAAUUUGCAGAGGAUGCUUCGGGAGUGGUCCCCAUCUAAGUGCCCUGGAACGGGACGUCAUAGAGGGUGAGAAUCCCGUAUGGGAUGGGUGGCCGCGCCCGUGUGAAGCGCCUUCGACGAGUCGAGUUGUUUGGGAAUGCAGCUCUAAGCGGGUGGUAAAUUUCAUCUAAAGCUAAAUAUUGGCCGGAGACCGAUAGCGCACAAGUAGAGUGAUCGAAAGAUGAAAAGCACUUUGAAAAGAGAGUUAAAUAGCACGUGAAAUUGUUGAAAGGGAAGCGUUGUCCACCAGACUCGCCCGGGAGGGUUCAGCUGGCACUUGUGCCGGUGUACUCCCUUUCGGGCGGGCCAGCAUCGGUUUGGGCGGCCGCUAAAAGGCCUCGGGAAUGUAGCACCCUCCGGGGUGCCUUAUAGCCCGGGGUGACAUGCGACCUGCCUGGACCGAGGUUCGCGCUUCGGCGAGGAUGCUGGCGUAAUGGUGGUCAACGGCCCGUCUUGAAACACGGACCAAGGAGUCUAACAUCUAUGCGAGUGUUCGGGUGUCAAACCCGUCCGCGCAGUGAAAGCGAACGGAGGUGGGAACCCUUCGGGGUGCACCAUCGACCGAUCCUGAAGUCUUCGGAUGGAUUUGAGUAAGAGCAUAGCUGUUGGGACCCGAAAGAUGGUGAACUAUGCCUGAAUAGGGCGAAGCCAGAGGAAACUCUGGUGGAGGCUCGCAGCGGUUCUGACGUGCAAAUCGAUCGUCAAAUUUGGGUAUA